UGAAAACUUGAAGUAAUUGUUAACGCCCCACCUCGCGGGUUCUGAGGACACAGCCCAGCGAAGAGCGUCAAGGCCGCGUACCUGCCGGGAGACCCUCGAAGGACGAUUUCCAGUGACCGGUUAAAUGACAGCAGGUCAGGACGUGGGGCUCCCAGCACCUGCUCGAGGGAAGUGAGCAGCCCCCGAGACGGGCUCCUUUUGGAGAAGAGGCAGAACACACGAAGAAGGCACGGUGGCCACCCGGAACAGGGCAGCGAAGGACAGAAGGAAACCAGGUGGGGGUGAAGGAGUCUCACAAAAGGAACUAAUGACAGACCCUCCACACCGUCCGUCUUCUCAGCACCGCAGCCAGCACCGCCCAUUAAGGAAACCGUGCAGAAGAGACACACAAAAAAGUACGCUCUCGAACUGAAAAUCCUUCCCAUGAGAUGAACAGGAAUAGAAAAUGCAGGUCGUAUUCGUACAAAACUAUCGUAGGAAAAUUGACACUCUGAGUCAACACAUAAAAGCUGAUGAAAAUUCUCUGGAAAAAAAAGAAUCAACCACGAGGCAGGAGGGCAUUGUAACACAACAAUUGAAACUGGAUUAAA